rnacentral:rRNA from 1 species
UUGGAGGGCAAGUCUGGUGCCAGCAGCCGCGGUAACUCCAGCUCCAAUAGCGUAUAUUAAAGUUGUUGCAGUUAAAAAGCUCGUAGUUGAAUUUCGGGAUCAAUAUGUCGGUCGUGCCUUCGGUACGUACUGGUAUCAUUGGUUUCUCCUUUCUGACGAACCAUGAUGUCAUUAAUUUGGUGUUAUGGGGAGUUAGGACUGUUACUUUGAAAAAAUUAGAGUGUUUAAAGCAGGCUUUAGCUUGAAUACAUUAGCAUGGAAUAAUGAAAUAGGACGUUCGAACCUAUUUUGUUGGUUUCUAGGAUCAACGUAAUGAUUAAUAGGGAUAGUUGGGGGCAUUAGUAUUCAAUUGUCAGGGGUGAAAUUCUUGGAUUUAUUGAAGACUAACUACUGCGAAAGCAUUUGCCAAGGAUGUUUUCAUUAAUCAAGAACGAAAGUUAGGGGAUCGAAGACGAUCAGAUACCGUCGUAGUCUUAACCAUAAACUAUGCCGACUAGGGAUCGGAUGAUGUUAAUUUUUUAAUGACUCAUUCGGCGCCUUACGGGAAACCAAAGUGUUUGGGUUC